AUUGAACGCUGGCGGCAGGCCUAACACAUGCAAGUCGAGCGGAUGAAGGGAGCUUGCUCCUGGAUUCAGCGGCGGACGGGUGAGUAAUGCCUAGGAAUCUGCCUGGUAGUGGGGGAUAACGUCCGGAAACGGGCGCUAAUACCGCAUACGUCCUGAGGGAGAAAGUGGGGGAUCUUCGGACCUCACGCUAUCAGAUGAGCCUAGGUCGGAUUAGCUAGUUGGUGGGGUAAAGGCCUACCAAGGCGACGAUCCGUAACUGGUCUGAGAGGAUGAUCAGUCACACUGGAACUGAGACACGGUCCAGACUCCUACGGGAGGCAGCAGUGGGGAAUAUUGGACAAUGGGCGAAAGCCUGAUCCAGCCAUGCCGCGUGUGUGAAGAAGGUCUUCGGGUUGUAAAGCACUUUAAGUUGGGAGGAAGGGCAGUAAGUUAAUACCUUGCUGUCUUGACGUUACCAACAGAAUAAGCACCGGCUAACUUCGUG
rnacentral:rRNA from 1 species